rnacentral:rRNA from 1 species
UACGUAGGGUGCAAGCGUUAAUCGGAAUACUGGGCGUAAAGCGUGCGCAGGCGGUGAUGUAAGACAGAUGUGAAAUCCCCGGGCUCAACCUGGGAACUGCAUUUGUGACUGCAUCGCUGGAGUGCGGCAGAGGGGGAUGGAAUUCCGCGUGUAGCAGUGAAAUGCGUAGAUAUGCGGAGGAACACCGAUGGCGAAGGCAAUCCCCUGGGCCUGCACUGACGCUCAUGCACG